GUGCUUGCUUCGGCAGCACAUAUACUUAAAUUGGAACAAUAGAGAUUAACAUUGUCCAUGAGCAAGGAUAACACGCAAAUUUGUGAAGCAUUCCAUAUUUUU